CCGCUAGAAGAUGAGGAGCUCAUUGAGUAUAUACUCACUGGACUCGACCACGACUUCAAUCCUAUUGUGUCUGCUCUUGUUGCAAGAGCAGAUCCAAUAUCGGUAAGCGAGGUUUAUGCGCAGCUACUCACUUUUGAAA